GAUGAACGCUGGCGGCGUGCCUAAUACAUGCAAGUCGAGCGAACAGACGAGGCGCUUUCUUCUCUUCCGUUAGCGGCGGGUGGGUAAUUAAUAGUUGUAUACCUUCCCUUUAGGGCUGGGUUCACUUCGGGAACCCGGAUCCCACACCGGUUAAUAUGUUGAACGUGAGGGUUCUUCGGCUAAACCGCUUUUGGCUGUCCCUAGUUCUUGUUUCCUCGCUGCAUUAGCUAGUUGGUAAGGUAACGGCUUACCAAGGCGACGAUGCGUGGCCGACCUGAGAGGAUGAUCAGUCACAAUGGAAAUGAGACACGGUCCAGACUCCUACGGGAGGCAGCAGUAGGGAAUAUUGCGCAAUGGGCGAAAGCCUGACGGAGCAACGCCGCGUGAGUGAUGAAGGUCUUCGGAUCGUAAAACUCUGUUAGUAGGGAAGAACAAAUGUGUAAGUAACUAUGCACGUCUUGACGGUACCAAAACAGAAAGCAACGGCUAACUACGUG
rnacentral:rRNA from 1 species